rnacentral:misc_RNA from 1 species
AAGUUGUAACAAGGUUUCCGUAGGUGAACCUGCGAAAGGAUCAUUAACACGUAUGCGCCCGUUCGGACAGCAAUCCCUAGUAAAUAAUUGUUGAACAGGGUUUGAUUUAGGGACCUCUGUACGGAAGGACUGCGGUUUGCGUGCAACUGAGUGGAAGCGCAAGCAUCCUGGUGCCUUUUAGACGGUUAUCGUGCGGAAGUGACGAUAAUGUUACCGUGUGUGACGGUAACCUAUCAACGAGGUGACUCCUAAACACGUUUGCUAGAGGUCCACACGACCGGCAACCGGGAUCCAGGCCGAAAGAUCCCUAACCACCCCUCGCUAACGGUCGUACGCACCCCCCAACUGAACAACCGUUAACAAUGGAUAUCUUGGUUCUC